rnacentral:lncRNA from 1 species
GUUGCCGCAGCCCCUCGUCGAUCGUAGCCACGCCUCGAGCGCCGUCACCUUCCAGCCGACCCACCACCACUACCAGCCACCGUGCGGCGACCGCUGCUCGCCUCCCAACCGCCGCUCCCCCUGGCUCGGGCGAGAACGACUGCUGCCACUCCCCCUUGCUCUGCCCCCUUGUGACCGAAACAGGGCAAUCCUCUUGCUGCUGCCCAGCCAGCGACGACGCCGCUCGUCGCCCAGCCUGCCACCGUCGAUUCCUAUUUUCCACUGC